CAGUCGCCGCGGGAAUACGGAGGGGGCUAGCGUUGUUCGGAAUUACUGGGCGUAAAGCGUACGUAGGCGGCUUUGUAAGUUAGAGGUGAAAGCCUGGUGCUCAACACCAGAACUGCCUUUAAGACUGCAUCGCUUGAAUCCAGGAGAGGUGAGUGGAAUUCCGAGUGUAGAGGUGAAAUUCGUAGAUAUUCGGAAGAACACCAGUGGCGAAGGCGGCUCACUGGACUGGUAUUGACGCUGAGGUGCGAAAGCGUGGGGAGCAAACAGGAUUAGAUACCCCUGUAGUCCCUGUCUCUUAUAC
rnacentral:rRNA from 1 species